UAAGGAGUAGCAUUAGGCCACAGACUCUUCAGAUUUGAUUCACAAGCCUCAUUAAAGGACAAGUCCCAAAAAAGGGUUUUGGUAAAAUAUAUAGAUUGUGCUCCUGUAAAAGCUGUCUUGCAUUGAAACAUUUUAUCCACAACAAAGGCAGAGCAUUAAAUGCCUCAGCACAUUCUGACACAAAGUAUGAAUGAACUUUGAGGAGCAUAGAAAAGCUACAGCACUGUACACUAGAUAAAUGGGCUCAUCCAGUCUGUGUAGGAUGAGAAACUACUGGAGUAGAAGAUGGAACUCAGGAAAUGCCAAAUUUACGGUGUGAAUGGAAGAACAAAUCCAAAAAGGAAACAAAAUGUGUAAAUUGAGAGAAACAUGUCCGCCUGAAGGUUUUGUUUCAAAUGGUUAUUUUGGCUGCAAAUUAGAAAACACAAUAAAUGGAAAUAAUGAUAAAUGAGAAAAAUUUAAAACACUGAGAAGUACUGAAUGAAGGAAAAGACAGAAUUGUAGAAGAAAUGCACAUACUAUGUGUGACCAUGGGAUCAUUUGUGGAGUUUCCUUCAAAAGUUCCACCUAAGAGGACAGACUAGAGGAUACUGUGAUCCAACACAGAGGGAGUCUGUGUAAAGCCAACCAUUUGAAGUCCAGAGACUGAGGAUAGAAGGAGUGUCCAGAGAGAAGAGAGGUAUCACCUACAUUACAGGAUUAUAGCUGAAGUUUCCGGUGAAAUAUCCCAACAAUCCCACCAAGUAUCCUGCUAGAGAAACAGUUAUAAUCAUCCACCAAACAGAGAACUCCACUGAUAGUCAUAUAUGUAUGUGCCAAGUACAACUGUGCCCCUCCUUUUAACCCCUCUCUUCCUAUGCCUUUUACAUUGAAAGGUGAAAAUAAGUUGUUAAGGGGUCUUAGGAAUGUGAACAUGGUAAACAGAAAAAGGUGAUCUUGUUGAUUCUUCUAUGCAACUUCAGGCCCCAAGCAUUGCUAAGCUUUGGCAAAGGAGAAACCUUAAAUUAGGUGAGAGUUUGGAAUUUUUAUGAUUUUAGUAUCAUGCUGACCUGUGCAUUGUGGUUAUUAAAAUGAGACUGUUCUUUUGAUUAAAAACUAUGGGAAUGGACCAAGAUUUCAUAAUUUCAUAGACAAGAUGGAACAACAAGCCCACAGAGGUACUAUCGUUAGAGGUCAUGUUGAUGUUGGCAUUGUGAAAUAUGUAUACACACACACACACACACACACACACACACACACACACAAAUACAUAAACAUGGAUAAAAUAAUAGAAUUAUUUUAAUAUUGCUAUAAAUAAAAUUGCAAAACAGUGCUUCUCAGCUAGAGGUAUUUUUGCCCCCUUCUCUAAUCUACCGCUGGGACAUUUUGCAAUGCCUUGGGACAAUUUUGGUUCAGACAACUGACGAAGUAGGUGCUACUAAGGAGAGGCCAGGGAUACUGUUAAACCUCCUACAAUGCACAGGACAUCCCAACAACAAAGAAUUAGCUGACCCCAAUGUCAACAGUGCCCUCUGAGAAACUUUAGAAUAAACUCAUUAUUGCCCCACUUUUUUAAAAAGAUGUUUUCUAGGUCAGUCCACUAAAAAUGCCUAUAAGCAAACACAACUGUAGCAGCAAUAAACACUGGGAUCCAGAUUGCUGUAUCUAAUAUCAUUUUUAUCUGAAAGAAACCAGAGAUCCUUGGAGAAAUGGCUGAUCUAGGUUGUGGCUGGAAAUGUACAAGUUGAGCCUGUGGUGCUUUGUUGUGACAGAGUUUGAUGUUAUUGAGGGUUAAUGAAACUGUGUCAAAGCCACACAGACCAAAGACAAUUUGAACAUCAGAAGGAAUCUAGUUCAAGUGAUUAAAAUAUAUUGACUACAUAAAAAGUCAUUACUACAUGAUGACAUGUAAGAAAAGAAAGAAGAAGAGAAAUAAACAAAAUAUACUCACUGGAAACUACUGGAGGAUGCUAAGGUACAAAUUGAUUACUUUGAAAAUUGAUAAUUAAAUGGAAAUAACUGAGCAUCUACUAGGCCUUCCAGUAUUUUAAGAUUACUAAUUUAUACAAAGAAAUAUAAAAAAAAGAUUUAUAACUGAUAAAAUAAGAAAGAAUAAUGGAAGCAGAAAAUAAUCCUUUUGCAAUCCCUAAGGAAAUGACGACCACUUGUCAAGUCUGAGAGGACAGUUAAAAUACUCCUCUGUUUUUCAACUAUGUGUCUGUGUGAUGCCACAUUUUCUUCAUAUGCUUCAAUCAAAACAACAUGU